rnacentral:rRNA from 1 species
AUACGUAGGGAGCGAGCGUUGUCCGGAAUUACUGGGUGUAAAGGGAGCGUAGGCGGGAGUGCAAGUCAGAUGUGAAAUACAUGGGCUCAACCCAUGGGCUGCAUUUGAAACUGCAUUUCUUGAGUGACGAAGAGGUAAGCGGAAUUCCUGGUGUAGCGGUGAAAUGCGUAGAUAUCAGGAGGAACACCGGUGGCGAAGGCGGCUUACUGGGCUUUUACUGACGCUGAGGCUCGAAAGCGUGGGGAGCAAACAGGAUUAGAUACCCUGGUAGUCCACGCUGUAAACGAUGAUUACUAGGUGUGGGGGGACUGACCCCUUCCGUGCCGCAGUUAACACAAUAAGUAAUCCACCUGGGGAGUACGGCCGCAAGGUUGAAACUCAAAUGAAUUGACGGGG